rnacentral:rRNA from 1 species
GACGAACGCUGGCGGCGUGCUUAACACAUGCAAGUCGAACGGUGAAGCGCUUUCCUUUUUGGUUGGUGUGGAUGAGUGGCGAACGGGUGAGUAACACGUGAGUAACCUGCCCCCUUCUUCUGGAUAACCGCAUGAAAGUGUGGCUAAUACGGGAUAUUCUGCGCCUGCUGCAUGGUGGGUGUGGGAAAGAUUGUGCCUUUGGGUGUUUUCGGUGGGGGAUGGGCUCGCGGCCUAUCAGCUUGUUGGUGGGGUGAUGGCCUACCAAGGCGGUGACGGGUAGCCGGCCUGAGAGGGUGGACGGUUACACUGGGACUGAGACACGGCCCAGACUGCUACGGGAGGCAGCAGUGGGGAAGAUUGCACAAUGGGCGCAAGCCUGAUGCAGCGACGCCGCGUGAGGGAUGGAGGCCUUCGGGUUGUGAACCUCUUUCGCCAGUGAAGCAGGCCUGCUCCUUGUGGGUGGGUUGACGGUAGCUGGAGAAGAAGCGCCGGCUAACUACGUG